GGGCAACACAACAACUUUUCCUCUGGACAGGUCUUGAUAAAUCUCCCCCAGUGUCCGUACAUUUUCCCUGACCAACCUCAGGUGUUGCAAAACUACAAUUCCCAGCAUGCUGGAAAAGCCUUUUGCUGGAGUCCAGACCUGAAGGAGGAAGAGGCCUUAGCCUGGGAGCGGAGGGAAGGUGGGUCACCAAGAUGUUGCAUAUGCCAGCAAGUUCACAGUCCUUUACGAAGAUAACUCUUAUGUCUGGCAGAUAACAAUUGCCAUAGCUGGGGUCCUGCUAUAGUGGAGAUGCCAUUGUGCCUUGUAUAGAGGUCACCAUAGAGGUCAACAACAACCUGAACUUAAAAGCUUCCUGGCUACUUGUUGCCUACUCAGAACAUGCCUAGGGUUGGCAACUUUUACAAUGUACUCAAUGCACAUGUACACCUA